rnacentral:lncRNA from 1 species
UGAAAGAAUUGCUGGCAGCAAUGCAGACUCCUGAGCCCUAGGAAUUCGAAUUCAGUAAGUCCAGGCUGCUACAGCACGGAGCAGAAGAUCCUCUUCAAGGGCUUCAGGCCCAGCUGUGCCUGGGCACUAUCUUGAAACAUCCUCAGCACAUCCUGUUCAAAAUCACGCAGCGGUAUUGCAAAGGCAUCAUCAGGACUAUGGGGCAAGCAGCAAUCCAGUGUGCUAGGAUGCAGAAAACCUAGAGUUCAGUGCCUCUUCUACCACCGAUGGGCUAUGUGCCCUCGCAGGCCACCUGCUCUCUCCUCGGCCUCUACUGCUGCCUUACGAGGAAGGAAGGUCUGGAAAACAUAGGCUUUCCCGAGUUCAAA